rnacentral:rRNA from 1 species
GGAAAACCGAAGCCCCGGUGAACGGCGGCCGUAACAAUAACGGUCCUAAGGUAGCGAAAUUCCUUGUCGGGUAAGUUCCGACCUGCACGAAUGGCGUAACGAUGGCCACACUGUCUCCUCCUGAGACUCAGCGAAGUUGAAAUGUUUGUGAUGAUGCAAUCUCCCCGCGGAAAGACGGAAAGACCCCAUGAACCUUUACUGUAGCUUUGUAUUGGACUUUGAACAGAUCUGUGUAGGAUAGGUGGGAGGCUUUGAAGCAGGGUCGCUAGAUCUUGUGGAGCCAACGUUGAAAUACCACCCUGGUGUGUUUGAGGUUCUAACCUAGGUCCAUUAUCUGGAUCGGGGACAGUGCAUGGUAGGCAGUUUGACUGGGGCGGUCUCCUCCCAAAGCGUAACGGAGGAGUUCGAAGGUACGCUAGUUACGGUCGGACAUCGUGACGAUAGUGCAAUGGCAUAAGCGUGCUUAACUGCGAGACUGACAAGUCGAGCAGAUGCGAAAGCAGGACAUAGUGAUCCGGUGGUUCUGUAUGGAAGGGCCAUCGCUCAACGGAUAAAAGGUACUCUGGGGAUAACAGGCUGAUACCGCCCAAGAGUUCAUAUCGACGGCGGUGUUUGGCACCUCGAUGUCGGCUCAUCUCAUCCUGGGGCUGUAGCCGGUCCCAAGGGUAUGGCUGUUCGCCAUUUAAAGAGGUACGUGAGCUGGGUUUAAAACGUCGUGAGACAGUUUGGUCCCUAUCUUCCGUGGGCGCUGCAGAUUUGAGGAAGCCUGCUCCUAGUACGAGAGGACCGGAGUGGACACACCUCUGGUGUAUCGGUUGUCACGCCAGUGGCAUUGCCGAGUAGCUAAGUGCGGAAGAGAUAACCGCUGAAAGCAUCUAAGCGGGAAACUCGUUUCAAGAUGAGAUCUGCCGGGGCCUUGAGCCCCCUAAAGAGUCGUUCAAGACCAGGACGUUGAUAGGUCAGGUGUGGAAGCGCAGU